rnacentral:rRNA from 1 species
AGCAGCCGCGGUAAUUCCAGCUCCAAUAGCGUAUAUUAAAGUUGUUGCAGUUAAAAAGCUCGUAGUUGAAUUUCGGGGUUAGUAGGUUGGUCAUGCCACUGGUAUGUACUGAUCUUACUGAUUCCUCCUUCCUGAUGAACCGUAAUGCCAUUAAUUUGGUGUUGCGGGGAGACUGGACUGUUACUUUGAAAAAAUUAGAGUGUUUAAAGCAGGCUAACGCUUGAAUACAUUAGCAUGGAAUAAUGAAAUAGGACGUUCGAUCCUAUUUUGUUGGUUUCUAGGAUUGACGUAAUGAUUAAUAGGGAUAGUUGGGGGCAUUAGUAUUCAAUUGUCAGAGGUGAAAUUCUUGGAUUUAUUGAAGACUAACUACUGCGAAAGCAUUUGCCAAGGAUGUUUUCAUUAAUCAAGAACGAAAGUUAGGGGAUCGAAGACGAUCAGAUACCGUCGUAGUCUUAACCAUAAACUAUGACCGACUAGGGAUCGGGAUGAUGUUAAUUUUUAAUGACUCAUUCGGCGCCUU